rnacentral:lncRNA from 1 species
AUAUUUCUUUAAUGAUUCAAUCAAUAAGUCAGUGGAACAUGGAGGAUCCGAGAGUAAGUCUUAAUACCAAAUUUAAAGGAAACCGAGGACAACCCUGUGAAAGGCUACCAUCUCUUGACCCACUGGAUGCCUUAAUGCCCAUAUAUCCAGGUGUCACUGGGCAAGCAGUCAAUGCAGAGAUUGGCCACCUUCUCUGAAGCUGAAGCAAUGGGGCAGCAAAGAGUGUCUGCGAUCAGAAGAAGAAAGGAAAAUUGCCACCAUCCUUAGGAAUUUGACAUAUGGAGUUAUAUUUCAGACAACAUUUUGGGGAGAGGCCUUGAGUUUAUUGAAUGAUCAGAAGAAAAAGGUAUUUAGGAUGGAAAUCUGGGAGAUCAAGGCACAGUUGACUGAACCAUUCCAAUACUAUGGAAUUCAGCAGAGGAGAGGUGGUCAGGGAAGGAGGCAAACCUAAAAAGCAAAAUGAGAAAUGUGACUUAAUUCAAGUCCUAGAGAGGGAAUUAUCUGUUCAUAAGGAGGCACAUAUGGUACAUACAUAUGCAAAUCUCAAGGGAUUCUAGGGUAAUAGUGUUUAUAACAUGCUUUCAUAUCCCCAAGAGGAAGAAGUAUGCUACUUCGUCAGUUGUAAAAGGCUUGAUAAUAUAUUGGCUUUAAGGAUGACACAAAUUAAUGCAAAAAACAUGUGAACAAGUGGAGCUUAUAAACUUACGCGGCUGCACCAGCCCAUUACUUUGAGUCCUAACCAUAUGACUAAGUUUUUAGUUGCUUAAGCAAAUAAAUGUUAUCAAACACCCUUUGAAGAACAAGUUAAUUUGAAAUUGAAGUUUUUUCUUAAAUUGACCAUUUGAGAUAUGGCUGCUGAGGUUUAAAUAUUCAGCUUUGACUUAAAGUAGAACAGUUAUGCCAGAUAGAUGAGAGGCCAUUUGACCCUUUUAUCUCUGCCCAAGUAUUCUAAACAACACAAGCUAUGGACACAGAUUGGAUAUGUUUUUAGUUACCACAGUAUAUAAGCUGCACAAUCCAUUUCUGACUUUGGUCUCUUAUUAAAUAUGGGGUGGAAGUGGGUAGGCUGUCAAGAAGAACCAACAAUUUCAUAUAAAUCCUUCAAUUCCAGGGAAUUGUUUGAAAUCAGGCAGAAAAUACAAGUGUCAUUUGUGAACCUUUUAUACUUCAAUUGACAAAAAUAAUCGUAUACUUAAUUUGGAGACAGAGUUCUGCCUUCCAUGACACCCUUAUUGUGGUUCUCUUCCUCUCCUCAUUGAAUGGUAGCCAUGAAAUUUGAUCCUAUCCCUCUUGACACAGUGACGGCUUUAGGUCCCAAUCAUUGCAAACGUAAGGACUGUCUCUUAGAUUCAAAUAAGGGGAACCAGCCUUGAGAUGGAGCCUUCACUAUACAUAUUAGAGUCUAGUGAGACAGAAAAACUGAAUUAUCAAGCCCCUGGAUCAAAUUCCCCUGAAACUCAUAUACCCUGAGAUUUUCCAGUAUACGAACCAAAAAGGUUUAAAUUGGAUUUUCUAUUACUUACAACCAAUGACUUCAUAAAUAAUACAUGUCCAUCAGCAAAUAAAAAUGUAUUUGCAUUUCCAAAACUAUAUUUGACUUCCUACAUUCCAUGACAGGGGGCUCAGCACACAACUCCCUGUAUUGGCACGUAUAAUAAAGGGAGAUAGGCUUACUUAAGCAAAAUGAUUUUUAUUCACAUCGGAAGUGGAGUUUGAGUCCUGAAUUUGCACUUUGUUUGUAUGUGAGCACUGAAUUUGAGCUAUAGAGUUCCAGUCAUUAUGGCUGCCUCCAUGAGUAGUAAUUAAGCAGUUACUGCUCAGAAAGUCAUGCAGAAUCAGAAUUAGAUCUGGCACCCACCUGACAGGUCCAACAUCAAUGAGGCAACCAGACAGGCAAAACACCUUAAUAUCCAUUAGCCAAUGAAUAGGUCAGUAGAAAUUAAGGGUGAGUGCCCAUACUUCUACAGGGUUAACUUCAAAAGGUCAGUUUUCUAGCUUGCUUUGUCAACAAGAAAGGGAAGAUGGGUUUGCUUAAGGAAGUUCGGAAUGAAGUUUAUUAGUGAACUUACCCACCCUUUUCUUCCUGUCCAUUUUGUUUGGUCUUCCAUAAUUGGCAAGCAGCAUUUAUUAAUACAUGUUCCUGACAUAAAGCUAUGAAGUAGGUUUUCCUCUUCUAGUAAGAAAUUCGGUCAAAACCACCCAGGUGCCCACAUCUCAAUUAAAAACAAAAAGACAGGAAACAAUUGGGUAGUUCUACUAGUUUUUAAUAUUCUGUUUUUUCACAGCCCAGAAUGUUCUAAUUGGGAAUGACAAGAUUGCAGAUCACAGGCAGAGCUGGGAGGUUUUCAGCCAAAUUUAAUGAUACCUGAAAAAUCCACCAUUCUUCCAAUGGGCUUGGUUUACUGGAAAUAACACCUGCUGUAAAUAACUUA